rnacentral:rRNA from 1 species
CACGUAGGGCGCAAGCGUUGUCCGGAAUUAUUGGGCGUAAAGAGCUCGUAGGCGGUCUGUUACGUCUGCUGUGAAAACCCGGGGCUUAACCCUGGGCUUGCAGUGGAUACGGGCAGACUAGAGGCAGGUAGGGGAGAAUGGAAUUCCCGGUGUAGCGGUGAAAUGCGCAGAUAUCGGGAGGAACACCGGUGGCGAAGGCGGUUCUCUGGGCCUGACCUGACGCUGAGACGCGAAAGCGUGGGGAGCGAACAGG